AAAUGUAAUCUAUAAUAACUAUGUAUGUCCCCAAUAUAAUCUAUUAUUUCCAUAAUCAAGUCAUGAAUAUAAUCAUUAUUUUAACCAAUCGCUAAAGACUUCUUAAGUAUAAUUUAAACAAGGAACAUGGAAAACAUAAAUUCAAUACUUUCUUAUUAGUAUUCAAUAAUGGUAGAAUAUGAAAAAAGGUAUUAACUGUUCGUGUAGAAAAUAUUUCGAACAAAACUUCCCGCCUUAUAUUUAAAAAUUUCAAGGUUGAGGAGUCAUUUUGGAUUAUCGAUUGCGUAUCGAUGUUGUAAAUGAAUCGCAAUUCACGCUAUGAAUACAUAUCUGUCAAACUUGCAUUUUUGUAAAAGUUGUGCAACCAGUGUGUUAUUUUAUCAUUGAAAGAAUGCAGAUAAAUGAAGUACAAAGUUUCAACAAAUAUAUCAAUAAUCAAUAAAAGCCUUAAAUGUGUUGCCCGUUGAACACUAGUGUGUCACAAGUUUUUAACCUCUACGGAACGUAAAUAAUUCCUGGAGAAAAUUUUCGAAAAUAGUUAAUUCCAUAUAAUUUGAUAGAAAUUACUAUUUUUAAACUAAGGUUGUUAAUUAUUACGGCAAUUUAAAUAAUUAUCCUGUUCUGGAUGUUAACUUCCUUCGUAAGAGGUUGGAUCGGAAUAUGGAAACAGCAUUUUGAGAUCAUAAUUUUUAACUUCGUUCGCAACAAAUAAUUGGAAAGGAACAGUGAUUACAAAAAAUAUUGAUUUUUGUAUGAUCCCUACUAUUACAGAAACAAUGGCAUCAGAGGCUUUUUUUGGAACUGGUGGCAUACUUCAUAGUACCUUAAUGUUCAUGCUGAGAUUUAAUUGGCAGUCAAGAUAUCGUUUACCGAUGCUUAUAAUUAUUGUAUUAAUUGCAAUAGAUUACAGACUUCAAUUAGCACUUGAAUUUGACAUUAAUCCUGAACUAUAUAAUCAUUUGUGAUUAAGGAUUUAAGUUAUUUAUAGAUCAUUACUAGAUUAUAUUGUCAAACAAAGUUUUAAAUGCUCAUAAGAGAUAAUAAGAAAAGUAUUUUUCAUAUGACAAGAGAUUCAAGAAUGAAAGGGUAUAUAUUGUUGAUAUUUUUAUUUAUUUCUGUUUUGUAGUUUCAGAUUAGUAUAGAAUGACGCUGCGUUGGAAUUGUAUAGGCUAAGAAAAUUUUUGACUGAUAUUAAUUAAUAUUUUCAAGUAUUUAUGUGUCAUAUUGUAAAGAGAGUACUAUAUAGGUUUUAUACAAUCAUUCAUUGGAAUGUAAAUUAUAUAUUUAAAGUAAUAAUUACUGCUGUAAGAUCUAUAUUAUCACAUAAUUUUUAAUGCAUACUUAUUUAUUACAAUAUGUUUUACACAUAAUCAUUAUAUAUUCGUCUGUUUAUAUUGUUAAGGCUCGUAACUUUCAAUUUUGUUACAUGUUUUUUAUUAAGUAAUAUGUCUGAGAUUGACAUUUAGACGAAUAUUCUUUAUUAGGAUUUGAUUAAGAUAACUGUGAUCAAAUAGCUUCAGAUAGUAUAGUAAAUAAUCAAAUUCUUUAGAAUUUUGGCUAUUAUAUAUGUAAUUAUUAAGACCAUCUAUAUAAAUUAUUGGGAAAAUAUAUUUUUGCUAUUAAUACAUUGUAAGAGAUAUUCGAAAAUAUGUUAGUAGUUUAUUCGGAAAAUUUAAAUGAUUGUAAAAGGCUAGUGAAUACAUGCAUUAACAUGAUUUUAAUUCUCUCUCGAUAUAUAUAUACUUUUUUUUUACGUGUUAAUGUAUAUACUUUCACGAUAAAGAAAUGAGGCUAGCAACUGAUUAAGUAUUUUAUUUAUUUAUUUAUAAAUAUUCUGUGAGUAUGCAUACUGUAUUACGUUACAUUAUGCAAUUUCUUAGUUAAAAUUCACAUUGUGAAUGACUUGCAAACAUUCACUGUAUUUAUAGAUUUUUUAUUGAAUGCGAGCAAUUGUACUGAACAUAGCUAAACAAAUAAAUAGAUCAACAAUUACUUUUCUAAACCAUUGUUUUAUUUCUUUGUCAGGAAAUGACUGUUAAGGCGUAUAAAUAAAUACGAAGGAUUUCUUACAAGCUUUAAUUUUUGAACUUAAAUGAGUUAACAUUUUUUAAUGUAAAUUUUACGGUUGUAUUAUUGACAAAUUUUUAUCGCUAACUACAAAUUUUUAUUUUUAUUGUUUCAAACAGUUUUUUUAUUCAUUUAGUAGAUUAGAAGUGAUGGUAUAUGAUAAUAUUGUAUAUGUUCUGAGAAGAAUCGCAACUCUUCCAGCAGUAGUUCAAGAGUCGAAACCCUUCCUCAAAUGAAAAGAACUUCGAGUUUCCCAGUUCUGUUCUUUGCAUCAAAAUUCAGAUUAAAUUAAUACAAGAUGAUCCGGAUGGUAGAAUUUGUCAAAUACAAUAUGAAGUCGUAAGUUACCAUCAUUAAUUUUAAUGCUUCUGUAAACGGUACAAUAAUGAAAAUAUAUUAUUACUUGAAUUACAGACCAAGAAGAAGUCAGGGAAGUGUUCGAAGCAUCCGCUCUGACUGCUUGUGAAUUUUCACACAAAACGUGAAGAUGUAGAAAAUCGCUACCUUAUAUUAUAAUAUCUUUACCAACAAAAUAAGUAUCUUUUUCUUUGUACCAAACAAGAUCUAUAAUCCACUAUUCGUUCCUCUUAUUUCCUUCCAUUCUAUCGAAUAUCAAUUAAACACCCACGAGUCGUUCUCGAAAUCGAUUUCAUUCAGAAGUUCGUCCUUCGAGAUUCGACACUUCGAUCUUUAUGAAGAAAAGUGGCCGGAUUUCCGCUGAACGUGAUGAAGA
rnacentral:lncRNA from 1 species